AGAUGAACUCGACUCGGCUGAUGAUAAAAAAAACAUCACUGGGUUCAGUUUGUCCAA
rnacentral:pre_miRNA from 1 species